CGUGACCCAAUUGUUGUGCCUCUCUCUCGUCUGUAAGCUGUAUGUGUUUCUGCAACGAACGCAUCAAUAAAAAUCCAAUCUUUGGUUGGUUCUAUACCCUGCUACUCUUCGUGGGUAUUUUGAGUUUUUAUUGUUUAUGGAGAAUGGAAAGAUACCUAAAUGGAGGUACAAUACACGGAUGUGGUUUUGACCUUGUCUUCUCUGAUGCCAUCUUCCCUAAUCGCUUCAGGUAUUCAAUGGCAGAUAGAGCUUUAACCGGUGGAAAAGCUGAUAAUUUUUUUGCCUCAAUAUGUUGUGCUGCUGUUUUGAUUCUUACUGCAGACAUUGACAUUUGUGAUCUUCAAUAAGAAUUCCUCAACAGAAGCAUUGUCCAUCUCCAUCUCUGUCUCAUGAUUGGAUAUUGCCAUCAAGACCUCAUCAUCACCAUGUGGUGCAUCAUCAAUCUGCACUUUCUGAUCGAUGCAAGAAGCCGGUAGGAAGCGUAU